UACGUAGGGUGCGAGCGUUAUCCGGAAUUAUUGGGGCGUAAAGAGCUCGUAGGCGGUUUGUCGCGUCUGUCGUGAAAGUCCGGGGCUUAACCCCGGAUCUGCGGUGGGUACGGGCAGACUAGAGUGCAGUAGGGGAGACUGGAAUUCCUGGUGUAGCGGUGGAAUGCGCAGAUAUCAGGAGGAACACCGAUGGCGAAGGCAGGUCUCUGGGCUGUAACUGACGCUGAGGAGCGAAAGCAUGGGGAGCGAACAGG
rnacentral:rRNA from 1 species